ensembl:lncRNA
UAGUGGCUACAAGGGACCUUUGGACAUCAUCUAGUCCACUUCCCCUGCUACAGCUGAUAUCCUACAGUAGCUUACACAGAAAAGCAUCUAUGUGGAUUUUGAAUAUCCCUGGAGAAGCAGACAUUACAACCUCUCUGAGCAGCUUGUGUCAGUGCUCUGCCACCCUCAAAGUAAAAAAUUUUUUCCUUGUGUCCAGAUGGAACUUCCUAUGUUCCAAUUUGUGCCUCUUGCCCCUCAUACAUAUCACUGGGCAUCAACAAAAAAAUCCUGACCCCAUCUCCAUGAUUCCUACUCAUAAGGUAUUUAUAAGUAUCAAUAAGAUCCCCUCUAGGUCUUCCUUCCUCCUGGCUGGACAGUCCCAUGUAUCUUCACUGUUUUCUCACAAGUGAGAUACUCCUGGACUCUCUCCAGAAAUUCCAUCUUGCUUAAACAGGGGAUCUCAGAACAGGACACAGUACUCCAGAUGUGGCCUCACCAGGACAGAGUGGAGAGAAUCACCUUCCUCUGUUUGCAGGCCACAACCUUUUUCAAGCACACCAGGACACCAUCAGCCUUCUUGGCCUCAAGGGCAUGCUACUGGCUCACAGUAAACCCAUUUAUACCAGGAUAACUUCUCUGCAGAAUUUCUUUCCAGCAGGUCAGCUCCUAAUCUGUACUGAUACACAUGACCACUCCUUCCCAGAUGUAGGACCCUACACUUGCCCUUGUUGAACGUCGUAAGGUUCUUCUCCACCCAACUCCCCUGUCUGUCCAGGUCUCACAGAAUGGUAGCACAUCUUUCCAGUGUGUCAGCUGCUCCUCCUGGCUUCAUAUCAUCAGUGAACCUGCUGAGGUGCAUUCUGUUCCUUCAUCCAGAUCAUAGAUGAAAAUGUUGAACAAAACCCAAUGCAGACCCCUGGGAAAUUCUUCCUUCUUGCCCUUUUUGAAAAUGAAGUGACACUGGAUUUUCUCCUGUCCUCAGGCUCCUCUCCCAUUCUCUGUGACCUUUCAAACAUGAUAGAGUCACUGAGCAAUCACUUCUGCCAGCUUCUUCAGCACUCACAGUUGCAUCUCAUCAGAGCCCAAGGAUUUCUGAGCAUCAGGUUUGCCUAGACUAUCUCUGACCAGAUCCUUCUUGACGGUGAGGAAGUCUUCCUUUCCCCAGACCAUCUCUCUUAUCUGCAGGGUCUGGGAUUCCCAAGAGCCAGUUUUAGCAGUAAAGACUGAAGCAAAAUAUACUCCUCAGGAUGUUUUAUAUGCUCAAACCUUUUAUGGGCUCAAAAAAAAAAAAAAAUCUAGACCAAAUUAAGAAAUAUCUUAAGGGCUGACCAAAAACAAGAGUUGUGGCUCAUAGAUUUCUGAGUCAUAUCUGCUAGCUGUGAAGACAUAUAUAAAGGAGUAUCUCCUGUACCUGUGCAAUAGAAGAUAUUCAGGGCAAGACAAAAUGUUGCUCUCACUCAAUACGGUUAUUGAUUUAUACAUGUACACUCUGUAUGUGUGCAAAAGAGAGAUUGAAUUUAAGUGCACAAACAUAUUUUGGCUCUAUACAAUUUUGCCACUUUUUAACGCAUCUUGGAAAGUCUCCUAGUUUAGAAA